AUCCAGCUGAUAAGUCCAAAAAACAGAACGAAAUGCACAUCUUGGAU
rfam:Schistosoma mansoni strain Puerto Rico chromosome 1, complete genome